GGGGUUGUGGCUCAGUGGUAGAGCACUUGCCUAGCAUGUGUGAAGCACUGGGUUUGAGUUCCAGCACCACA
rnacentral:tRNA from 1 species